GACAGAGGGUGCGAACGUUGUUCGGAAUUACUGGGCGUAAAGCGCAUGUAGGCGGCAGCGCAAGUCGGGCGUGAAAAUCCCACGGCUCAACCGUGGAAGUGCACUCGAAACUGCGCAGCUAGAGUCCUGGAGAGGAAGGUGGAAUGCUUGGUGUAGGAGGUGAAAUUCGUAGAUAUCAAGCGGAACACCGGUGGCGAAGGCGGCCUUCUGGACAGUGACU
rnacentral:rRNA from 1 species